UGGGGAAUAUUGCGCAAUGGGCGAAAGCCUGACGCAGCGACGCCGCGUGAGGGAUGAAGGUUUUCGGAUCGUAAACCUCUGUCAGAAGGGAAGAAACCGCACUGUGCUAAUCAGCAGUGCCUUGACGGUACCUUCAAAGGAAGCACCGGCUAACUCCGUGCCAGCAGCCGCGGUAAUACGGAGGGUGCAAGCGUUAAUCGGAAUUACUGGGCGUAAAGCGCACGUAGGCUGCUUUGUAAGUCAGGGGUGAAAUCCCACGGCUCAACCGUGGAACUGCCUUUGAUACUGCUCAGCUUGAAUCCGGGAGAGGGUGGCGGAAUUCCAGGUGUAGGAGUGAAAUCCGUAGAUAUCUGGAGGAACAUCAGUGGCGAAGGCGGCCACCUGGACCGGUAUUGACGCUGAGGUGCGAAAGCGUGGGGAGCAAACAGG
rnacentral:rRNA from 1 species